rnacentral:rRNA from 1 species
AUUGAACGCUAGCGGGAUGCCUUACACAUGCAAGUCGAACGGACGGACUCGAUAGCUUGCUAUUGGGAAAGUUAGUGGCAAACGGGUGAGUAACGCGUAGGCAACCUGCCCUUCAGAUGGGGACAACACUUCGAAAGAGGUGCUAAUACCGAAUGACGUAUCCAUUCCGCAUGGAGAGGAUACCAAAGGCCGGGCAACCGGUCACUGAAGGAUGGGCCUGCGUCUGAUUAGCUAGUUGGUGGGGUAACGGCUCACCAAGGCGACGAUCAGUAGCCGGUCUGAGAGGAUGACCAGCCACACUGGGACUGAGACACGGCCCAG